UUUUAACAUGUACUCUUUCAGUGUAGGACCCCCGAUAUGGGGACCCCCACUCUAGUCCAGGGACAGGAUACACCCACGAACACGCAAGAAUCC
rnacentral:pre_miRNA from 7 species